rnacentral:pre_miRNA from 1 species
UCGUAACCGUAGCCCCUGGUUACAGUAAAUAAUUCGUUAACCAGAGUUACCGUUACGAUU